rnacentral:rRNA from 1 species
AGAGUUUGAUCCUGGCUCAGCCUGAACGCUGGCGGCGUGGCUAAGACAUGCAAGUCGCACGGGCGUAGCAAUACGUCAGUGGCGAACGGGUGAGUAAUGAAUCGCUAACGUACCCCGGACUCCGGGAUAGCUGCCCGAAAGGGCAGGUAAUACCGGUUGACAUACCCUGCAGGCAUCUGCGGGGUCUCAAAGGUCCGCCGAUCUGGGCGCGGGCGAUUUCGUAUCAGCUAGUUGGUGAGGUAACGGCUCACCAAGGCGACGACGCGUAGCCGGACUGAGAGGUUGGCCGGCCACAUCGGGACUGAGACACUGCCCGGACUCCUACGGGGGGCUGCAGUAACGAAUCUUCCCCAAUGCACGCAAGUGUGAGGGAGCGACGCCGCGUGUGGGACGAAGUCCUUCGGGAUGUAAACCACUGUCAGGGGAUACCAAGUUCUGAGGAUCCCCAGAGGAAGAGGCGGCUAACUCUGUGCCAGCAGCCGCGGUAAU